GUUGGUGCAGUGACCACAUCGAACAGUAACAGUCUUGAAUAGACUUGUGCAAGGAACACUCACCGCGAGAACAGUGUCACAAAUGUUGCAAUGAACAUAACAGAGCUGCUCGGAGGGAGGGAGGUGGUCCAAAGACAGAGUAGAAGAGGAGGACAUGGUGUUUUUGAUUGCCUUUUCAACUCUUUUAAAAAUUGAUUGAUGAUUGCUUUUCUGGUUGAUUGACUGAUGAUUGAUUGAUAAGAUUGACAGCUUAACAACCACCUUGGAACUGCCUUUUCUUCAGGGCAUGAAGGGUUGUGAAAGAAAGGUGAUCAAUUUCGUUUAGUAGAUAUAAGAGGGCAGAUAGAAGACAG
rnacentral:misc_RNA from 1 species